AUGGAUGUGAAGUCUGCAAGGUGUGAGGUUCUACACUUGGAAAAAGUCUGAAUGUCUCUUCAUCCAUUUGGCCUAUACCUUGUAAGUGAUGAUUAAAUCUCUUUGAUAUGUAAAUGCCAUUAGCUUUGUUCUAGUAUCAUAUCCAAAGGAAGGAGAAAAACAUUCACAUUUACCCCCACAGAAUAAUAAUUAAGCCUCAUUUUUGUUAUAUUUGGAAUGUGACAAGUGCCGUCUUCUAACCAAGUCCAAACAUGAGUGGCCUAACUUGACCCUAGGGAAAGGAAUUGUGAUGUCCGUCCUAUUGGAUCGUGG